GCUCGUGUCAUUUAUACAAAAGAUGAAUGUGUAGAAACGAUGAUUUAUACUAACGUAUUUUUUUAUGCUACAGUGUUUUUUUCAACCACUUUUUUUUUAACAUACCGUUAGAGUUUUUACCCGUUUUAUUAUGUAUUUCAAUGAGUUCAUAACACUCAGCAACUCAAAAAAAAUCAGUACAUUAGUCCUUGAAUUCUAAAGAGUUGAACAAACUGCGUGUAUUCAAAUAAAAAUGAUAACCAGUUUAUUUCCGUUUAUUUUUUAAAAUAAACCCAUUGAUGACAGUUCCUUCGUCAUCAAAAAUUUUUUCUUUUCAUCAGGUUUUCGAAUUUUUGAUAGCUAAUCUAUGAAAUCACUUAUGGUUCCCACACGUAGCUCGUUGUGUCUAAGCAUACAAACUUGGAAACUUAAGAAAAAAUUAGCAGAUGUUUCUCAAAUUUCUCGAAAGACGCAUGCCAGGCGGAUAUCUGUAACAAUAAAGUAUUCGAAUAUGCUUUGGGCAGUAGAAACUACCAAAAAAAAUGAUGAGAAGGCGAAUCCUACUAUUUAAUAUUUCUUUGUAAUAAUAAUAUUUUUUCUUUAGAAAAUAUAAAGCAAAUAAAAAACUCCUUGGCAUUUUUCGUCAUUAUGCUUAAAGGUUCAGGCAUUUGUAAAUUAUAAUGAAUGGAUAAAAUUAAGAAAAGGAUUUAUAUAUUAAGAUACAAUGUCAAAUUUCAACACUGAGUGCUAAAUGAAAUGAAAUUGUACGGUUUUGUAGAAUGGUUGCUUCGUUGUCGAGUGGUCGGAUAUUUGGAAAAAAGAAAAUAUCAAAUUAACAAAAUUUUAUUUGUAUUCGGUUAAAGCAUGCUUUUGUUAUCUAACAAAAAAAAAUUAUGCUUAAGCGAAAUGAAUUUUUUUUCUUAUUUAGAAUUAAUGAUCAAGAAACUCCUGUCAAAAAAUUAAAGAUAAUCUACAAACUGUUAAUUUAGUAAGAGUCAUCAAGCUGGUUACUAUGGUUGGAUGCAUCAGUAGUAUGAUGUGUAUACCCACUUUCGAAUUUCCAUAUAAAACAACAAUAUCGACUUGUUGUUGAGCAUUUCGAAAUUUCGAAGUCGAGCCAAAGAUCGGAUUUGAGGGUAGAAUGAUGAUCAUUUUGCAAUAUGUUUUUUUUUCUUAUUUUAAAUGAUACUGCAUAUAGUAUUUCAUUUUCUGAGUAGCAUACUGUGUCACGUGAAUGACCCAUGAAUUUCUGAUUUGGUAAUGUUGUAAAGUGUAGUAGGCUUAAUAGGAUGGAAAAGUGUUUGGAGUGCGUUGAAGUACUAAUGUCGGUUAUUACUUGUUUGUUUGACACUUGAGGAAUCGUAAGAGAACAUUUAUUGUAAAAAGAAUCAUAAGCAGUUUUACGAAAAUUAGCAUCAAAUCCGUCAUUACUUGAAAGAGCAAUCGACUCAAAGAAAAUUGGUUAAAAUUAAAACAAAGGACUUUGUUAAAUGACUGACAAUUUCGCGUGGUGGCAGUAAUCAUAGCAACCCUCUGUUUACCAGUCUACGUUUACUACCUCGUCUCACGAAUUUUUUAACGGCAAUGUACAUAUUUAAAUUUAACGUGAAAACUAUUAUAAGUUUUUUAUAUGUAAUCCUUACAAUUUCUUACUUCCGUUACAUUUCUCUUUAAUUGUUUAUAAUUUUUUUUUUUAAAAUAGCACGGUGCUAAAAAAGAUUGUCCACGUCAAAUGUCGUGGACUAAAAUGAUGUGAAUAUUUUCUUGUAUUGUUUCAUUCCUUUUUUUGUAAGUUAUUUAGAACAAAAUAAUUGUACUGAAACGUUAUUCAUGAAACAAAAAUAUAAAAAAUUCUAUUUUUUAACAUUAAACAAAUGGUUGGUAAUUUGUUGGAUGGUUAUUAUGCGACUUUCAAACAGUCAGAUAUUUUUAAGAUGAAAUCUGUAUCAACAAGUAGACAACAUCGGCGCACUGAACGAGAGGAGUGUUUCGAUACACUCUGCGUAUGUGAGAAAAAAAUACAAUAGAAAAAAGAUUAGUAUUUGUUUUGUAUCAUAUAUUUCUGAUGUGUUUAAUAAAUAUGGCACCCUGUAGUUUUGCAUUUUUUUGUUAACGUGUUGCCGUAAAAAUAACAUUGUCAGUGCAAAUAUGCAGAAUGAAAA